GUGAGGAAUAUUGGUCAAUGGACGAAAGUCUGAACCAGCCAUGCCGCGUGGAGGAUGAAGGUCCUCUGGAUUGUAAACUUCUUUUAUCUGGGACGAAAAAAGGUCUUUCUAGAUCGUCUGACGGUACCAGAUGAAUAAGCACCGGCUAACUCCGUGCCAGCAGCCGCGGUAAUACGGAGGGUGCAAGCGUUAUCCUGAUUCACUGGGUUUAAAGGGUGUGUAGGUGGGUUGGUAAGUCAGUGGUGACAUCUUCGAGCUUAACUCGGAAACUGCCAUUGAUACUAUCAGUCUUUAAUAUUGUGGAAGUUAGCUGAAUAUGUCAUGUAGCGGUGAAAUGCUUAGAUAUGACAUAGAACACCAAUUGCGAAGGCAGCUGGCUACACAUAUAUUGACACUGAGGCACGAAAGCGUGGGGAUCAAACAGGAUUAGAAACCCCAGUAGUCC
rnacentral:rRNA from 1 species